CUCCAGCUGACGACUCUCAAAUAGGACGAAAUGCGCAUCCUGGAU
rnacentral:hammerhead_ribozyme from 1 species